AUCUAUAGCCAUGCCGCCCUGAACAAGCCCGAUCCCGUCCGAUCUCAGAAGCUAAGCAGGGUCAGGCCUGGUUAGUACUUGGAUGGGAGACUACCUAGGAAGACCAGGUGCUGUAGGCA
rnacentral:rRNA from 1 species